CUUAUUAUUAGAUCAUGGGUGAGUCAGAGGAUAGACAAUCAGGCAGUAAGUAGGACCAUCUUAGAGCAAGCUAAGUGCCUCAGGCGAGAUAACGCAGAGGUGUGGGACAGAGUGGGUGGGGAGGAAAGCUGCCAUACAGUGGCCAGGACCAGCUUCGCCCAAGUGGUGGCAACUGCACGACCACAGGAACGAUGGCGUGAGCCCCAUGGCAACCUGGAGGAAGGGUGUGCUGGGCAGGGGAGGGUGGUGCAAAGACACCAAGAGAGUCUGGCUCAUUGACCGGCAUGGCUGGAGUGUGGGGACAGAGCAGGGGUGUGCCGGGGAGACUGGAGUCCCAGGAAAGGCCAGGUUCCAGGGCGUUGAGGGCCAGAGGAGGCACCUGGGCCUGUUCCCUUCCCAACCCUCAGGAUAGCCCACCCUUCACCCACAGCUGCACAGGAACGCCCUUGGGCACUGGCCUCCAGGGUGGGGAAACCAGGUUCCUGCAGGAGGGGCAGAUCUGAGUGUCCCCCACCCUCGCCUGAGUGCACUCAGGGUCAGGCCUCCGUGCCCCCAUAGUCCAUCCCAUGCCUCCGUCUCAUCACUCCCACCAGGCUGAGGCCCACCCUGGGCUCCUGUUGGGUGGGGUCAGCUUCUGUGAGCUCCACCACUGUGUGAGCCCAACCCCGACCAGCCCUCUCCAGCUUCUGGGGCCUGCAAGGAGGAGGAAGGCCAGGGUGGAGAGGAUGGAGAGAGACCUGUUCCAUGCGGAGGGGUGAGCCACCUUCUGCGGUGGAGGCCAGGAGCAAGGAUCUGCUCUGAGCCUGGUCUGGGGCCCCUCCCCCACUUCCCACCUCCCAGCUCUUCCCUCCUAGAGACACCUUCUUUGUCUGCAGAGGCCACUGCUCUGAUUCUGUCUGUUGCUAGGUGAUGGGAACUGCGGAGAGCGAAGAGUGGGGAACUGGGCAGGGUCUGGCGGGCCUGUGGUGGGGGGAGCUGGAACAUGCAGGCUCAUGGAGCACACAGAUGCCUACACACAGCUCCGCAGGCACAUGGGGACACGGACCCACUCCCACAGCAGACACCCCCACAGAGCACUCAUGGCCCCCACAGAAACACACCCACACUCAUCACAGCAAACCAAAACAAUCACACGCUGGUACACAAACACACACACCCCCGCACCAAUCCAGGCAGACACAAAGCUCACAACAACAGGCAGCAGAUCUGAUUCACACAGACGCAGGCACAGGUGCCGCCCAACGCCACCCUCUCUUUGUCACAUGCCAGCCCUCGGAGGGAGGAAAGUGCCUCACUAGGCUGAGAUGCCCAAGGGACCUCCCAGGGAAGGAAAGCAGGAGACACAGGGACAGUGGCUUCCAGCCCUGUCAACACCCUUGUGCCCAACCAGCAAAUACCCACUGGGUGUGUGGGCACACUGCGGCCUUUAAAGAGAAGAGAAACACAUGAGGCUCACAGCAGGAGGCCCUGCCUAGGUUCCAGGGGACAUGGAGCAGAGUGGCUGUGUAGAGCUGGGGAGCAUCCCAAGCCUGUGCCAAGGUUCCAAGGACAAAAAGGGACCUCCAGCACUUGCCUGUUUGGGCAGCGUGAGCACAGAGAGCAGGAGCUUGCCCUCAGAGGCUUCAGGGGGUCGCUUGCACCCACUGGUAAGGUCAGCAUCAUGUUCGACCAAAGGGAGGAAGGUGGCUGUGACCAGAGCAUCAGGGGGUCCUAAUGCAGCUGGGGAGUCAGGCUUGAGUGUGUGCUGUGCAUGUUCUCUGCCUCUCUUCCUUGGGGGUAGGCGAGUCUCCAGAGCCUGGAGGACAAGUUAGCCUUGUGAAGGAUGGCAGAGGACCUGGCCCAGGGGUCCCCAAAAUGGAGCACCAACCCUCCAUGCAGGCCAAGACACUGGUGAAUAUGCUGCAAAAAAUAUGCUGAAACUUCUAUGCAUACCACAGGGUGUGAGAAGAAAAUAUUAGAACUUCUAGUUUGUACACAUGUUACUCCACAACAAGAAAGAAAUCAACUUGAUUAAUGCAUACUGUAAAGACAGCACCGCCCUCCGGAGGCCCUCUGGAAGCCCUAGUGCUGGGACAGCCGCGUCCUCUCGCAGCAAGGGGAGCCUUGAAGCAUAGAGGGGCCCACACAGGUCUAUUCUGUUUCAGUGAAUUUCCUGGUUAAGUGGAUUUGUGGAUUAUAGUCUCUGGUUUUAAUUAAACUAACCCUAACAAAAUGAGCAAGUGGCUUAAGAAGUCUCAUGCGAAGGAAAUGUGUUUUGAAGAUAAUGGAAGCAAGAGCUUAGAACAAGAA